rnacentral:rRNA from 1 species
GGAAUAUUGGACAAUGGGCGAGAGCCUGACGCAGCCAUGCCGCGUGAGUGAUGAAGGUCUUAGGAUUGUAAAGCUCUUUCGCCCGUGACGAUGAUGACGGUAACGGGAGAAGAAGCCCCGGCUAACUUCGUGCCAGCAGCCGCGGUAAUACGAAGGGGGCUAGCGUUGUUCGGAAUUACUGGGCGUAAAGCGCGCGUAGGCGGCUUUGCAAGCCAGGGGUGAAAUGCCUGAGCUCAACUUGGGAAUUGCCUUUGGGACUGUGAGGCUUUGAGGACGGGAGAGGUGAGUGGAAUUCCCAGUGUAGAGGUGAAAUUCGUAGAUAUUGGGAAGAACACCGGUGGCGAAGGCGGCUCACUGGCCCGUUUCUGACGCUGCAGCGCGAAAGCGUGGGGAUCAAAC